GACGAACGCUGGCGGCGUGCUUAACACAUGCAAGUCGAACGGAAAGGCCCUGCUUUUGUGGGGUGCUCGAGUGGCGAACGGGUGAGUAACACGUGAGUAACCUGCCCUUGACUUUGGGAUAACUUCAGGAAACUGGGGCUAAUACCGGAUAGGAGCUCCUGCUGCAUGGUGGGGGUUGGAAAGUUUCGGCGGUUGGGGACGGACUCGCGGCUUAUCAGCUUGUUGGUGGGGUAGUGGCUUACCAAGGCUUUGACGGGUAGCCGGCCUGAGAGGGUGACCGGCCACAUGGGGACUGAGAGACGGCCCAGACUCCUACGGGAGGCAGCAGUGGGGAAUAUUGCACAAUGGGCGGAAGCCUGAUGCAGCAACGCCGCGUGCGGGAUGACGGCCUUCGGGUUGUAAACCGCUUUCGCCUGUGACGAAGCGUGAGUGACGGUAAUGGGUAAAGAAGCACCGGCUAACUACGUG
rnacentral:rRNA from 1 species